rnacentral:rRNA from 1 species
CACGGAGUUAGCCGGUGCUUAUUCCUCAGGUACCGUCAGUUGAGGACGCAUCCCCUUUUUCUUCCCUGAGAAAAGCCGUUUACAACCCAGAAGGCCUUCAUCCGGCACGCGGCAUGGCUGGGUCAGGCUCUCGCCCAUUGCCCAAUAUUCCCUACUGCUGCCUCCCGUAGGAGUCUGGCCCGUAUCUCAGUGCCAGUGUGGGGGAUCACCCUCUCAGGUCCCCUAAGCAUCGUCGCCAUGGUGGGCCGUUACCCGCCAUCUAGCUAAUGCUACGCAACCCCAUCCUUGACCAAUAAAUCUUUACCAAUUAAACGAUGCCGUUCUGUUGGUUUAUGCGGUAUUAAUCCGCCUUUCGGCGGGCUAUCCCCAGUCAAGGGCAGGUUGGUACGCGUUACGCACCCGUGCGCCACUAGUGGUAUUGCUACCACCCGUUCGACUUGCAUGUAUUAGGCCUGCCGCUAGCGUUCAUCCUGAGCCAGGAUCAAACUC